rnacentral:tRNA from 1 species
GGGAAUGUGGCUAAGUGGUAGAGUGCUUACCUGGUAUGUUUGAGGCCCUGGGUUCAAUCCUUAGUACUACUA